rnacentral:rRNA from 1 species
UGGGGAAUAUUGGACAAUGGGCGCAAGCCUGAUCCAGCCAUGCCGCGUGAGUGAUGAAGGCCCUAGGGUUGUAAAGCUCUUUUGUGCGGGAAGAUAAUGACGGUACCGCAAGAAUAAGCCCCGGCUAACUUCGUGCCAGCAGCCGCGGUAAUACGAAGGGGGCUAGCGUUGCUCGGAAUCACUGGGCGUAAAGGGUGCGUAGGCGGGUCUUUAAGUCAGGGGUGAAAUCCUGGAGCUCAACUCCAGAACUGCCCUUGAUACUGAGGAUCUUGAGUUCGGGAGAGGUGAGUGGAACUGCGAGUGUAGAGGUGAAAUUCGUAGAUAUUCGCAAGAACACCAGUGGCGAAGGCGGCUCACUGGCCCGAUACUGACGCUGAGGCACGAAAGCGUGGGGAGCAAACA